rnacentral:rRNA from 1 species
AGCGUAGACGGUGUGGCAAGUCUGAUGUGAAAGGCAUGGGCUCAACCUGUGGACUGCAUUGGAAACUGUCAUACUUGAGUGCCGGAGGGGUAAGCGGAAUUCCUAGUGUAGCGGUGAAAUGCGUAGAGAUCAGGAGGAACAUCGGUGGCGAAGGCGGCUUACUGGGCUUUUACUGACGCUGAGGCUCGAAAGGCGUGGGAGCAAACA